ACUAAUAUUCAUUGGGAUUUUUCGUUUGGUGAAAGUUGCGUCGACGACUUCUCUUCCCUUCUCACUUUCUCUCUCCUCAUCUUAUCGUCGACGAAUUCCAAUUUGGCUGCUCUGCUUUCACAUCCGAUCUUCUCCUUCAUCUCUUUUCGGUAAGAUCUUCGGUCACCCGUGAUUUCUAAUUACAAAUCCUUGUUCGAUUAUUGAAGAAAGGUUGUGAAUUUCUAGGGUUUUCCAUUGAUUGUUUUUUUUACUUUGAAUUCUUUCGAGACUGUAUUUUUCUGGAUUAUUCUUCAUCGAUUUAUUGUGAACGCAUUGAAUUUGAAUAUUUACCGCCUGUAAUUGAAGGAUCACGUUCUUUAGGGUUGAAAAAAGUGAUCAAACAAUUUGAGAAUUAGGGUUAGGGAUUUCCCAAUCCUUUAAUUAUUUAUUUUCGUUAAUUUGAGAGGAUUUUUGUGUGUCGUUGUUGGUGUUGAUAUAAUGGCGACAGGCAAAAUCAGUGUGGUUAGGCGUGUAGAUCUCUCUAAUGUCUCGCGAAAACCCUCUGGAGCUCAUGGUGAUUCUGGAUUUGGGGCUACAAAAAUUAGGUCAAAUUCUGAAACUUAUGUGGAUUCCAAGUGUGUGGGGGGAAAGAGGGGUGUGUUUGAGAAGGAUAGCAGAAGUAGAGUUAAGGAAGCCAUGGAAGUUGAUGACGGGAUUGUGAUUUCGCCUCCUCAGAAGAAGAGGAAGUUUUCUCCUGUUAUAUGGGGUGAGCAAGACACCUUUCGCUCUACAUCGUCUCAAGGGAUUACUGUAUAUGAUGAUCAGGAGCCAGGGCAGCUUGACGAAGAGGAUUUUACUCGUGCGCCCAAUAUUUUGAAGUCCCGUUGGGCGAAUGAUGAUGAUCUGGAGGAGAGUAGUCGUGGGGAGAAAGGUGGAGUUGUUUUGAAAGGGGAGGAAUCAAAGGGGAGAAGGUCGAGUCCUGAGAGUGGUGUUACUCAAAAGGAGGGUUCUGAUUUCUCUGGAGGUAGGUCAUCUGGGUCUGAUGGAGGAUGUGUGCCGAGAUACUAUAGUGAAGGUGAAUGUUCAGAAAGUGAAUUAGAGUGUGAUGACUGUAUGGCACUUGAUUUGAGUGAUGAUGAGGACAUUGAAGUUGGAGUUUCCGGAGGAGGAAGGAGAAAUAUGCUUCAGGGUUGUAGAACUGUGUUUGAUUACGAAAAGCUUGGUAAAAUAAAUGAAGGUAGCUAUGGUAUUGUAUACAAAGCCAGAGACAGGGUGAGUGGGGAGAUGGUUGCCCUUAAGAAGAUGAAGUUGGGGAACCAAAGAGAGGGUUUUCCUGUGUAUUACUUGAGAGAAAUCAAUACCCUUAUGUCCUUGAACCACCCUUCAAUCAUAAAUGUUCGAGAAGUAGUGGUGGAUGAUAGCGCCGAAGGUUUUGAUAACAUUUAUAUGGUGAUGGACUACGUGGAGCAUGAUCUUAAGGCGUUGAUGCAGGCAAGGAAGCAACAUUUUAGGCAGAGUGAAGCAAAGUGCUUGAUGCUUCAGCUUUUGGAGGGUGUUGAAUAUCUUCAUGAUAACUGGAUUCUUCAUAGAGAUUUGAAGACGUCAAAUCUUUUGUUGAAUAAUACGGGCGAUCUGAAAAUAUGUGAUUUUGGAAUGGCACGCCAGUAUGGCAGCCCAUUGAAGCCGUAUACUUCGUUGGUGGUUACUCUUUGGUACAGGGCUCCUGAACUUCUUCUUGGAGCUAAAGAGUACUCAACAGCGGUAGAUAUGUGGUCAGUGGGUUGUAUAAUGGCUGAACUGCUAACCAAUAAACCAUUAUUUGAUGGAAAAAGCGAGGUCGAGCAGCUUGACAAGAUAUUCAGAACACUGGGCACACCUACUGACAAGAUUUGGCCGGAAUAUUCUCAAUUGCCUGGGGUUAAGGCCAACUUUGUACACCAACCGUUUAAUCAAUUGCAUAAGAAGUUCCCUCGUGCAUCUUUUACAGGCUCUCCUGUACUUUCUGACUCAGGGCUUGACUUGCUGAGCCGGCUAUUGACAUAUGACCCUGAGUUGAGGAUAACAGCGAAACAGGCCCUUAAUCAUCCCUGGUUCCAGGAAGUUCCUCUUCCCAACUCAAGGGAAUUCAUGCCUUCUUUCCCAGCAGACAAGGUAGUCUUGGCAAGAUAAUGCCUGAUGCUUGACAUUGUCUUAACACUGAUCAUAUUAUCUCUGUGGACUCCGCCUGGCAGUAACAGGCAUGUGUAGAUGGAUAUUUGUAACCGAUUGGAUAACUCUAUCGGAAGGGUUGCAGCUGUGGUUAGACAGAUUUGGAACACGCACUGAAGGGGAAGUGAUAUAUGCUUUAUUGUUUGCGGGAUCUGUUACUUCCUGUGUCCCUCUUGUGCUUUUACAGAUACCCUUCGAGCUCUUUGUCAUGGGUGCUGCGGCUGUGGUCAAAUCUGAUGCGCUAUUUUCAUUGGUGCCGAAUUGGUGGUUUUGUGUUGAAUACAGGAAGUAGCAGAAUUUUUGACUGAUUAUACUUCUUCCUAAAUUGGAUUUACUACCACUAUCCUGUGCUCUUACAGAUUUGAGCCAGAUCUGGAGUUUGGACAUAAUCCCAAUGAAAACACUGGUUAGGUAUCGCGAAGCUAAUCUGGAGCAGACUCUGUAACUGAGAACAGGAGUUGCAUGUUUAAAUUCCAAAGGGAAAAAAAUAAUUCUCGGUCACCUGCAUUAAACAUAAUUGCUGCAUAAUGGGGCACUGGAAACCAUUUACCUCAUACCUCGAGUAAUGGAGAAACUUUACGAGCUUUUCAGGUAUUUACUUGCAGAUGUGGCAGUGCAAUGUUUGAAGUUGCUGUAUUGUGCUGGUGUUUUGUUUUUGUGUUUGGUUUUCAUGUUCGCCUGCAUCCUCUUUCCAGUGUAAAUGUUAUGUUGUAUGUCUACACUUGAGCAGCAUAAAAUCUUUCCCACAAGAUCUGUUACCAUCUAUAAUAGUUGGCUAUCAACAAUUUGUUGUUGACCAUAGCAUCCUAGAUUAUUAACAUUGCAUAUGAUUCUAUUCUUAUUACUUUUUGACCUGUUAUGCUGCAAUGUAAUAAUUUAAACAAUAUGCGGCCAAUGGUGUUGUUUUGAGUAGUUCUUCUCAUACUAUUUGCCCAUCAGUUGAUAAUCGUGUUAUUUGGUUUGUUAUAAGAUUCUGUAAAUUAUGUAACGACAGGAUGAGAUGUUUGCCAUGGGAUUCUGUUUCUCCCUGUGGUAUUUCUCCUCCAUGUUUUGGCUUGAAAAAAGUUGAUAUUGAAUUGGUGAUUCUUCACUCUUCACUCUAGGUUUGUAGUCGAUUCUGGAUCUUGUCCGCUGUUCAGAACAUUUUGUGGAGUUAGGCUGGUAUGUUUAUUUUGUUUAUUAGUUAGUAGUACAGCAUGUCUUGUAUUCUGAGCUGGCUGUUGCAUUUAUGUGAUGGAUCAUGUCUUGGAUGUGGGAGCUUCAUGAGACACGGAGAAAUUGAUCAGCUGGAGCUUUCUACUUCGUGUAUGGUAAAUUGAGAGGGAGUACUGUUUCUACAUUUAGUGGUACUUUUUUCUUAUUCAAUGGUACUUCCUAUUUUUUACUCUUUGAUCUGUUGUUUGGUGGAGGAUCGUUUUUCUGCAAUUGCAGCUGGCUUACAUUCUGCAGUUUGAUCGUGCAAGACAUGAUUUGAUGCGCACAUUACAAAGUGCAGAAACUAGUAAGACAAAGUUAUCGUUUUUCAAUUGAAGUCAGGUGUUGUAUUAUUAAUAUUGAUAGGCAGUCCCAAAUUUUUAGUUGGGACUGCCUUUCAAUUGAAGUCGGGUGUUUUCUUAAUAUUGAUGUCAAAUUUUCCCUUGUCUUGAUGUAGUAGGUUUUUUACAACAAAUUGAAAAUGUGGAGAUGAUUUUGUUGUAGUUUGCAGUACCGCAGAAGAAAUUAUAGUUUAUAGGGAGUACAAACCAAUUAACUUGCAGUUGCGUUUUUUAUCCUUCCAAAAUUUUCAUCGACAAUUUGAUGAGUGAAGUUUAUCAUGUAACGGCGCAUAUUGAAGCUAUGAAGUACAAAAUAUUCAAAUAACAAUGUGUAAUCCUCGUCUAAAUAGUUGGUUCUUCUCUUAAUCUGGCUAGUUGAUACCACAAGAGAUCCAAAGGAUGAUAUCCAGACUCUUGUUAGACGGGUAUAUUUGUUCAAAUGUAAGAACGGAUUUAACGAUUUGUCCAUCCUGAUAUGAUUUUAUUCUUAAUGAUCAGUGUUUUCUUUCUUCCAAA